AGGACGAACGCUGGCGGCGUGCUUAACACAUGCAAGUCGAACGGUGAAGCCCUUCGGGGUGGAUCAGUGGCGAACGGGUGAGUAACACGUGAGCAACCUACCCUUGACUCUGGGAUAACUCCGGGAAACCGGUGCUAAUACCGGAUACGAGCAUCGACCUCAUGGUCUGGUGCUGGAAAGAAUUUUGGUCAGGGAUGGGCUCGCGGCCUAUCAGCUUGUUGGUGAGGUAAUGGCUCACCAAGGCGACGACGGGUAGCCGGCCUGAGAGGGCGACGGCCACACUGGGACUGAGACACGGCCCAGACUCCUACGGGAGGCAGCAGUGGGGAAUAUUGCACAAUGGGCAAAGCCUGAUGCAGCGACGCCGCGUGAGGGAUGACGGCCUUCGGUUGUAAACCUCUUUCAGCUCCGAAGAAGCGAGAGUGACGUAGGAGCAGAAGAAGCACCGGCAACUACGUGCUAGCAAGCCGC
rnacentral:rRNA from 1 species